rnacentral:rRNA from 1 species
CAAUAGCGUAUAUUAAAGUUGUUGCAGUUAAAAAGCUCGUAGUUGGAUUUCUGGUUUGAUGCGCCUGGCCCGCCGCGGUUACGCGUGUGAGAGCCGGUUGCGCGUCGACCAUCCUUCUGGAGAGCGCAGCUAUUCUUCACUGAACUGGUCGCGCGAUCUGGAUCGUUUACUUUGAAAAAAUUAGAGUGUUCAAAGCAGGCUUGCGCUGUGAAUACAUUAGCAUGGAAUAAUGAGAUAGGACUUUGGUUCUAUUUUGUUGGUUUCUAGGACCGAACGUAAUGAUUGAUAGGGACAGUUGGGGGUGCUCGUAUUCAACGGCCAGAGGUGAAAUUCUUGGAUUCGUUGAAGACGAACUUAUGCGAAAGCAUUCACCAAGGAUGUCUUCUUUAA